CUCAACUAGCCUACCUGGUUAAAUAAAGGUGUUCUCAACUAGCCUACCUGGUUAAAUAAAGGUGUUCUCAACUAGCCUACCUGGUUAAAUAAAGGUGUUCUCAACUGGCCUACCUGGUUAAAUAAAGGUGUUCUCAACUAGCCUACCUGGUUAAAUAAAGGUGUUCUCAACUAGCCUACCUGGUUAAAUAAAGGUGUUCUCAACUAGCCCACCUGGUUAAAUAAAGGUGUUCUCAACUAGCCUACCUGGUUAAAUAAAGGUGUUCUCAACUAGCCUACCUGGUUAAAUAAAGGUGUUCUCAACUGGCCUACCUG
ensembl:lncRNA